UACAGGGGGUGCAAACGUUGCUCGGAAUCAUUGGGCGUAAAGCGCACGUAGGCGGUCUGUUAUGUCGGAUGUGAAAGCCCUGGCUUAACCUGGGAAUGGCAUUGGUGACUGCACGGCUAGAGUGUGUCAGAGGGGGGUAGAAUUCCACGUGUAGCAGUGAAAUGCGUAGAGAUGUGGAGGAAUCCGAGUGGCGAAGGCAGCCCCCUGGGU
rnacentral:rRNA from 1 species